rnacentral:rRNA from 1 species
GAUGAACGCUGGCGGCGUGCCUAAUACAUGCAAGUCGAGCGAACAGACGAGGAGCUUGCUCCUCUGACGUUAGCGGCGGACGGGUGAGUAACACGUGGAUAACCUACCUAUAAGACUGGGAUAACUUCGGGAAACCGGAGCUAAUACCGGAUAAUAUAUUGAACCGCAUGGUUCAAUAGUGAAAGACGGUUUUGCUGUCACUUAUAGAUGGAUCCGCGCCGCAUUAGCUAGUUGGUAAGGUAACGGCUUACCAAGGCAACGAUGCGUAGCCGACCGGAGAGGGGGAUCGCCCACACUGGAACUGAGACAGGGUCCAGACUCCUACGGGAGGCAGCAGUAGGGAAUCUUCCGCAAUGGGCGAAAGCCUGACGGAGCAACGCCGCGUGAGUGAUGAAGGUCUUCGGAUCGUAAAACUCUGUUAUUAGGGAAGAACAAAUGUGUAAGUAACUAUGCACGUCUUGACGGUACCUAAUCAGAAAGCCACGGCUAACUACGUG